GAAUGUUUGUCUGGUGCAGAUUAACCUAGUUGUUAUUUUUUUCUGCGUCUUUUAUUGCAGAAAUUCGAUGGUGACUCUUGACUCAUCUGACGGAUAUACCGCUAAAAACAUUGUUAAUAUCCGAGGUGAAGGAAAUACUUCUAACCUGUUAUACGUCGCUUACCUGGACUGCAAGAAGUGUGUUCUACUCAGAAACGUCUAUGUAGACGAUUCUGCUUGUGCUCUUCUGGUCCCCGAGAGCGAACUUGGUCAUCACUCCAUCGGUUGCGAUUUUGUUUUCGAUCUUC